rnacentral:rRNA from 1 species
UAAUUAGGCGGAGGAAAAGAAACAAACAUGGAUUGACGUAGUAAGGGCGACUGAACUGUCAAAAGCUCACCUUGAGAAUCUGCGCUUUGGCGCCGAAUUGUGGUCUGGAGUUUAUUGCACCAUUUGAUCAGUCAAAGUCCCUUGGAAUAGGGCAGCGUAGAGGGUGACACUCCCGUUUGAUUGGUUAUGCGAGCGAUAGACGUAGAGUCGAGUUGUUUGGGAUUGCAGCUCAAAGUUGGUGGUAAAUUCCAUCAAAGGCUAAAUACAUGUGGGAGACCGAUAGCGUACAAGUACCGUGAGGGAAAGAUGCAAAGAACUUUGAAAAGAGAGUUAAAGAGUACCUGAAAUUGCUGAAAAGGAAGCGAAGGAAUCUAGUAUUAAAACUGCGCCAUAUUUCCCUAGUCGCUUGCGAGUGGGGCGCUGUGGUCAGUGAAGUGCUCGUUUGUUUGGGCUGUCGGUUGAGUGGCUAAGACUGCGUGUCUGUGCUGUUUGCGGCGGUCUCGACAGAGGGGAACGAAAUAGGUUUCUUUGCCCCGUCUAGAAACACGGACCAAGGAGUCUAACAUAUGUGCGAGUACAGGGGUGGUAAGCUCCGGUGCGGAAUGAAAGUAACAGUGGCUGGAAUGUGAUUGCACAGUCCGCCGGCCUCAAUCCCUCGGGAGAAUGGUCUGAGUGUGAGCAUACAUGUUGGGACCCGAAAGAUGGUGAACUAUGCUUGAGUAGGGUGAAGCCAGGGGAAACUCUGGUGGAGGCUCGUAGCGAUUCUGACGUGCAAAUCGAUCGUCGAACUUGGGUAUAGGGGCGAAAGACUAAUCGAACUAUCUAGUAGCUGGUUCCCUCCGAAAUUUCCCUUAAGAUAGCUGCGAUCGGCGAUUUAAUUUUGU